UUUAUAGUUUCCAUGAUCUCAACGUUCAUAAAGACGGACAGACAGACGGAAAUGGCUAGAUCGACUCGACUGUUGAUCCUGAUCAAUGGUCGAAAACGUUUAACUCUACGAGUGACGGUCGAAAAUUGUGAGUUUGUGAAGGUGUCAUAUCCGACCCUAUAACCCUAGGACAGUUGACCUAGCAAUGGAAUAAUCUGGGCACUCGACUAUAAAGUCCUGUUAUAAAUAUGCUCGCUGAAUUAGAAAGUACUAAUUAAGGUGAACCAGUAAAAUAUUUUUCUGCAACGAACCGAAUAUCAAAGGAUUUAAUGAGGGCUUUUCCAUCUUUCCAAGUAAAUAGUUCCAUUAAGACAAUGGCAAUUGAUUUCGGAAAUUGACUUUGCUGAUAUCUGCAUACCUAUACGCACAAGCUCAGCUCAAGUUCCCUAAUGCUUAUUUACACGGUAGAGCAUUUGGGAUUGGCACUCCUAGCACUCCUAGCCUACCAUCUAGAC